rnacentral:lncRNA from 1 species
AUAAGAUGGAAGAAAGUGAGAGAGUGGUGUAUGUGUGUGAAAGAAACAAUAAUACAAAACGUGUUCUAGGAUAGUAGUUAUAGUACCCUAAUUUUGUCCAAGCGACGACUUGGGUAGGGUUUGUGAGGUGAACCGAGAAAUGGUUGAUAAAAUGGAGAAAGUGAAGAGAGUGGGUGUGUGUGAAAGAAACUCUAAUAUAAAACUCGUUUGAGAUAGUAGUUGUAGUAUUCUUAUUUUGUUCAAGCAAUUAAAUAUAUAUUUUAAAACAUCAGUAGAAUUUUUUUCAUUUUAUUUUAUUUUAGUAAAAAAAGAAGCCAAAUUUCAGAAAAAAAUACUAUUCUAGGAAGUGUUGGUGUGUGUUGUGAUUCAAGUUGUGUUGGUGUGUAUCUUUCUUUCUCA